UUUUAGAAUUUAAUUUAAAGUCUAACCUGCCCACUGAAUAAUUUUAAAUGGCCGCAGUAUUCUAACUGUGCAAAGGUAGCAUAAUCAUUAGUCUUUUAAUUGAAGGCUGGAAUGAAUGGUUGAAUGAAAUAUUAACUGUUUCAUAGAAAUUAUAAAUAAAAUUUUAUUUUUUAGUCAAAAAGCUAAAAUAAUUUUAAAAGACGAGAAGACCCUAUAAAUCUUUAUAUUUUAAUAAUUUUAAUUAUUUAGAUAAAUUAAAUUAUAAUUAUUUUAAAUAUUUUAUUGGGGUGAUAUUAAAAUUUAAUAAACUUUUAAUUUAUUAUUUACAUAAAUUAAUGAAUUAUUGAUCCAUUUAUUAUGAUUAAAAAUUCAAGUUACUUUAGGGAUAACAGCGUAAUUUUUUUAGAGAGUUCAUAUUGAUAAAAA
rnacentral:rRNA from 1 species